GGCACCGCGACGUUGGGUCGCACUUUACGAGGCGGCCUUCCACGCGACUCGCGCGCGCAUCUCUCGCGCUGUCACACGACUCAUUUCGAGCCAUGUCAUUGCGCAUACGCUUCAUUAAUUGACCAUCGAAGUCCGAGAAACUUAGGAAUAAUUCCGUGUGGCCGAUCGCGUCUCUAGGAUCCUUUUGAAUAAUCUGAGCGAUUAUAGGAGAAUUUUGAGGGUUAUUCGGCUUAUCGGAACAUGCAGCAGGACUAAGCCAAUCGUUGAUUAAUUUUAUUUAUUGAAAUAAAGAAGAAAUAUCAUUCUGAAAACAGAAUACGGGAUUAUUAAAGCAAAAUAUGACAUUUCGGAUGAAGAAGUAUUUUAAUCCAUUUUAAUUCUUAGUGCCUUGGUAUAAAAAGAAGUAUUUGUAUCGAUAAUCUUGCAGUUUCGAUGCAACGGAGAAUAUAAUAUGUUUGAAGUGUGAACAUCUUCGUACGAAGCUUCAAUGUUCAUCAAGAAUAGCGUGAAGAUUAUACUGGUAGAAGAGAAUUUAAUUAAAUGGCAGAGAUCAAUCGACGGCCGGCAGCUAUCGAGCUUAGCUGGUCUCUAUCUUUCUCAACAAAAUAUAGAAUCGUCCGCUGGACAUGCGAUGGAAUUUCUUCGAGAUCGAGAAAUGUACCGGAUCAUUUAAUCGUUCGGUCGACGUAAGCGCAGGUCGAUUAUAAGAGGGAUAUAAAGAGGAGCCAGGGGUUAAGGCGGUGGCAAGUAAAACACUA